GCUGGGUGGGGUAGUGCACACCUGUAAUCCCAGUGGCUUGGGAGGCUGAGAUAGUAGAAUCCUGAGUUCAAAGCGAGCCUCAGCAAUGGCGAGGCCCUAAGCAACUCAUUGAGACCCUGUCUCUA
rnacentral:sRNA from 1 species